rnacentral:rRNA from 1 species
UACGUAGGGUGCGAGCGUUAAUCGGAAUUACUGGGCGUAAAGCGUGCGCAGGCGGUUAUGUAAGACAGUUGUGAAAUCCCCCGGGCUCAACCUGGGAAUUGCAUCUGUGACUGCAUAGCUAGAGUACGGUAGAGGGGGGGAUGGAAUUCCGCGUGUAGCAGUGAAAUGCGUAGAUAUGCGGAGGAACACCGAUGGCGAAGGCAAUCCCCUGGACCUGUACUGACGCUCAUGCACGAAAGCGUGGGGAGCAAACAGG